CCUACGGGGGGCAGCAGUGAGGAAUAUUGGUCAAUGGACGCGAGUCUGAACCAGCCAAGUCGCGUGAAGGAUGACGGCCCUAUGGAUUGUAAACCUCUUUUAUAAAGGAAUAAAACGAGGCACGUGUGGCUUUUCGCAUGUACUUUAUGAAUAAGGAUCGGCUAACUCCGUGCCAGCAGCCGCGGUAAUACGGAGGAUCCGAGCGUUAUCCGGAUUUAUUGGGUUUAAAGGGAGCGUAGGUGGGAUGUUAAGGCAGUGGUGAAAAUCUGCGGACCAACCCUAAAAGUGCAAUUGAAACUGGCGUUCUUGAGUGAAGUAGAGGUAGGCGGAAUUCGUGGUGUAGCGGUGAAAUGCUUAGAUAUCACGAAGAACCCCGAUUGCGAAGGCAGCUUACUGGGCUUUGACUGACGUUGAUGCUCGAAAGUGUGGGUAUCAAACAGGAUUAGAUACCCUAGUAGUC
rnacentral:rRNA from 1 species